AGUUGCUUGAGGAACAGUCAAGCAUGCCAGGAGUGAGCAUGCCAGAACCCAGUGCACAAGAGGCAGGACAUGUGCACGAGGUCGCGGAUAUGCCUUCUGUGCCUCCUUCACCUGCUUUGGACAUAUCGGUGGGUGACGUACAA